rnacentral:tRNA from 1 species
CUAAUGUGUCAGAGAUAAUGUAUUAAAUUUAAGAUUUAACCAUGAAAUUAUAUUCCUUUAGUA